GUGAGUAACACGUGAGCAACCUGCCCUAGGCUUUGGGAUAACCCCGGGAAACCGGGGCUAAUACCGAAUAUGACCAUUGGUCGCAUGACUGGUGGUGGAAAGUUUUUCGGCCUGGGAUGGGCUCGCGGCCUAUCAGCUUGUUGGUGGGGUGAUGGCCUACCAAGGCGACGACGGGUAGCCGGCCUGAGAGGGCGACCGGCCACACUGGGACUGAGACACGGCCCAGACUCCUACGGGAGGCAGCAGUGGGGAAUAUUGCACAAUGGGCGGAAGCCUGAUGCAGCGACGCCGCGUGAGGGAUGACGGCCUUCGGGUUGUAAACCUCUUUCAGCAGGGACGAAGCGAGAGUGACGGUACCUGCAGAAGAAGCACCGGCCAACUACGUGCCAGCAGCCGCGGUAAGACGUAGGGUGCGAGCGUUGUCCGGAUUUAUUGGGCGUAAAGAGCUCGUAGGCGGCUUGUCGCGUCGACUGUGAAAACCCGCGGCUCAACCGCGGGCCUGCAGUCGAUACGGGCAGGCUAGAGUUCGGUAGGGGAGACUGGAAUUCCUGGUGUAGCGGUGAAAUGCGCAGAUAUCAGGAGGAACACCGAUGGCGAAGGCAGGUCUCUGGGCCGAUACUGACGCUGAGGAGCGAAAGCGUGGGGAGCGAACAGGAUUAGAUACCCUGGUAGUCCACGCUGUAAACGUUGGGCGCUAGGUGUG
rnacentral:rRNA from 1 species